AUUGAACGCUGGCGGCAUGCCUACACAUGCAAGUCGAACGGCAGCAUGGAGAGCUUGCUCUCUGAUGGCGAGUGGCGAACGGGUGAGUAAUGCAUCGGAACGUACCGUGUAAUGGGGGAUAACGUAGCGAAAGUUACGCUAAUACCGCAUACGACCUGAGGGUGAAAGCAGGGGAUCGCAAGACCUUGCGUUAUACGAGCGGCCGAUGUCAGAUUAGCUAGUUGGUGAGGUAAAGGCUCACCAAGGCGACGAUCUGUAGCGGGUCUGAGAGGAUGAUCCGCCACACUGGGACUGAGACACGGCCCAGACUCCUACGGGAGUCAGCAGUGGGGAAUUUUGGACAAUGGGGGCAACCCUGAUCCAGCCAUGCCGCGUGAGUGAAGAAGGCCUUCGGGUUGUAAAGCUCUUUCGGCCGGGAAGAAAUCGCACAGGCUAAUACUCUGUGUGGAUGACGGUACCGGCAUAAGAAGCACCGGCUAACUACGUGCCAGCCGCCGCAGUAA
rnacentral:rRNA from 1 species